AUGAACGUUGGCGGUGUGCCUAAUACAUGCAAGUCGAACGAAGAUGAUAGCAAUAUUGUCUUAGUGGCGAACGGGUGAGUAACGCGUUGGUGACCUGCCCCGAAGUGUGGAAUAACAAUUCGAAAGAAUUGCUAAUACCGCAUGUGAUCUUGGAGAUUAGAACCUCUUUGAUUAAAGGAUUUAUUCGCUUCGGGAGGGGCCUGCGUCCCAUCAGCUAGUUGGUAGGGUAAUGGCCUACCAAGGCUUUGACGGGUAGGGGACCUGAGAGGGUGGCCCCCCACAAUGGAACUGAAACACGGUCCAUACACCUACGGGUGGCAGCAGUAGGGAAUAUUGGUAAUGUGCGAAAGCGCGAACCAGCAACGCCGCGUGCACGAUGAAGGCCUUCGGGUCGUAAAGUGCUUUUAGAGAGGAUGAGGAAGGACAGUACUCUCUGAAUAAGCCUCGGCUAACUACGU
rnacentral:rRNA from 1 species